rnacentral:tRNA from 1 species
AUCAAGGUGUCUGAAUUAGGUAAUAAAUUGUAAAUUUAUUUAAGAAAUAAAUAAGUUUCUCUUGAUA